rnacentral:rRNA from 1 species
GACGAACGCUGGCGGCGUGCCUUAUACAUGCAAGUCGAACGCGAACGAAACCUUCGGGUUUUUAGUAGAGUGGCGAACGGGUGAGUAACACGUGAGCAACCUACCUUGGAGUGGGGGAUAACCUUCCCAACGGAGGGCUAAUACCGCAUAUGGCGAUAGUGGGGCAUCCCACAGUCGUGAAAGCCUACGGGCGCUCCUUGAUGGGCUCGCGUCCUAUUAGGUAGUUGGUGAGGUAACGGCUCACCAAGCUUACGAUGGGUAGCCGACCUGAGAGGGUGAUCGGCCACACUGGGACUGAGAUACGGCCCAGACUCCUACGGGAGGCAGCAGUAGGGAAUAUUGCGCAAUGGGCGAAAGCCUGACGCAGCAACGCCGCGUGGAGGAUGAAGUCCUUCGGGGUGUAAACUCCUUUCAGGGGGGAAGAAACCUGCUUAGCAGCUGACGGUACCCCCAGAAGAAGCUCCGGCUAACUCCGUG